AUUGAACGCUGGCGGCAUGCCUUACACAUGCAAGUCGAACGGCAGCGGACCUUCGGGUGCCGGCGAGUGGCGAACGGGUGAGUAAUAUAUCGGAACGUACCUUUCAGUGGGGGAUAACGUAGCGAAAGUUACGCUAAUACCGCAUAUUCUGUGAGCAGGAAAGCAGGGGAUCGCAAGACCUUGCGCUGAUUGAGCGGCCGAUAUCAGAUUAGCUAGUUGGUGAGGUAAAGGCUCACCAAGGCGACGAUCUGUAGCGGGUCUGAGAGGAUGAUCCACCACACUGGAACUGAGACACGGUCCAGACUCCUACGGGAGGCAGCAGUGGGGAAUUUUGGACAAUGGGCGCAAGCCUGAUCCAGCCAUGCCGCGUGAGUGAAGAAGGCCUCGG
rnacentral:rRNA from 1 species